CCCUUAGACGCUCUAGGCGGCACGCGCGCUACAAUGGGUGGUAGAACGUGUAACUGCUCCCGAAAGGGAGGGUGAACCACGAAUACUUACCCGUGAAUGGGUUAGUUUGUUGCAAUUUUCGGACUUGAACUAGGAAUCCCUUGUAAGAAUGCUCAAGAAUAGCGUGCUGAAUACGUCCCUGCCGUUUGUACACACCGCCCGUCGUUUCUUCCGACUGAUACUCAUUGUGAGUUGCAAGGAUUCUUAUUGAAAAAUUGCUGCGAAUGCUUUGUAUUGGAGGAAGAAAAAGUCGUAACA
rnacentral:rRNA from 1 species